AAAUUCACUAAAAGCUAAACAUCUUUUUGACAGUGAGCUAUAUAUAUAUAUAUAUCUUCUCAACUUGUAAGAGAGAAGAAAAAGAAAAGUGAAGAAAGCUUUUGUAUCAGUUUCCUUUCGGUUUUGGGAUAAGGUGAGGCUUUUAAUUUGUUCUCUUCUGCCCAUAAUUGAUAUUAUAUAUAUUACGAGUUCAAGUCUUGAGUGUCGAUUUCUUGAUCAAGUCAUUAUGAGUUUGAAUAGUUUUAGUGUUUGCACCUGACUUCGACCCUGAUUCAAAAAUAAUUUCUCUGGUACUGUUCUGAUUUAAUUCAAAAUUCUUCAGUUUUUUAUUUUAUGUUAAUUUUAAAGAAUUAAAUAACAUAUAUAAAAUCAAGUAAUUAUAAUUUUAAAAUAUAAAAAUUUAUUUGAAACUUUUUUACAUAAAUUCACCUUAAAUUUAAUGAAAAAAAAAUCACCUUAAAAUAUAAGAAAAUGUAUAUUGAAUUAUAUAAGGAUUGAGGAAUAUGAAAGAGUGCCAUUAUACCCACAAGGCUAUAAGGCAGCCCAGGCCUUCUUUAGUAAAUCAGUCCACAUAUUAUAUUUAUUUUGAAACGAGGAUACCACCUUGAGUUAAUUUUAAUUUUAAUUGAUGAAUCAUGUAUUAUUUGUAACUUGUACUAUAUUUAAGAUUAUGUUUAUAAGUUCUUUUCAAAAUUGUAUAUAAUAUGAUUUUUUUUUAUUUUUAUAAUGUUAUAAGUUAACCCAAAUUAUUUAUAUAGUUAAUUAUUCACAUUAAUAUAUUUUAAUAUUUGAAAUAAUAAAUUGAAUAUUGAUAUUUAAAUAUUUAUGUCACCAUUUCUAUUUGAGAAAAAGUAUUUUUUUUCUGAAAAUAAUCAAAUAGAUAAUAUUAUUCAUUAAAACAUUCAAAUUUCAUAAAAAAUUGCGAAAAAAUAGAUUUAAAAGUAAAAAAAAAUCAUUUCUUAUCGAUUCAGUCUUAACUAGAUUGGCAUAGGCAUUAUUGCCAAAGCAAUAAGAUAUGGGUUCAAGUGCGCUAAAACGCAUUAUCCUCCUAUUUAUGGGUUGGUGAGGGGUUAUGGGUAGUUUCAGGCAUUGGUUCAUGUUUUGCAUAUGAGUGGCUAUCUGACCUCCGGACCGAGGUUUCUCACAUUUUUUAUUACCAUUUUGUUUUGUUUUCCUCCUUGCAUCUUUUUGCAUAAUAACUCAAGAUCCCGCCUUUUCUUUUCUUCGUUGGACUUAGGCCAUCAGUAAGAGGCAGUUGUCUUGGUGCUCUAUGGGUUCACCCAUGAUUUGGCCAUCCAUUCCUCAAGUCUCUAUUGUGGCCUUUACUUUUUGAAAAACUUUACUUGCUUUCCUUUGUUUGGAGAAGCUCUUUGUUUUUAUGGUGUGACAUUGAUGCCUCUCUAGGGUUUUUUGAGGAUUGGGUUUGAUUGGGCUUAGCCUUUAGUCUUUGUUUGUUGUAUUUUUUAGGCUUUAGGCCCUUUAUGUUGUAAUUGACCUUUUAUAUAUAUAUUGGAAAUUUGUGCUCUUAUGGUAACGAGCCGAAAGUUGAUAUGUUAGGUCCCAACUUAUACAUGGCAUAACUUCACUCACAAUAGUAAAA
rnacentral:lncRNA from 1 species